GGUGAACGCUGGCGGCGUGCUUAAGACAUGCAAGUCGAACGGGCUCUUCGGAGCCAGUGGCGCACGGGUGAGUAACGCGUAACUGACCUACCCCAAAGUCGCGGAUAACGAUUCGAAAGAAUCGCUAAUACGUGAUGUGCUGUCAGAUCCUGUUCUGCCAGUAAAGAUUUAUUGCUUUGGGAUGGGGUUGCGUUCCAUCAGCUAGUUGGUGGGGUAAAGGCCCACUAAGGCGACGACGGAUCGCCGGCCUGAGAGGGUGGCCGGCCACAGGGGCACUGAGACACGGGUCCCACUCCUACGGGAGGCAGCAGUUAGGAAUCGUCCACAAUGGGCGAAAGCCUGAUGGAGCGACGCCGCGUGAGGGAUGAAGGUCGUCGGAUCGUAAACCGCUGAAUCAGGGACGAAAGACGCGAAAGCGGGAUGACGGGACCGGAGUAAUAGCACCGGCUAACUCCGUG
rnacentral:rRNA from 1 species